rnacentral:rRNA from 1 species
CACUGGGAUACUUAGUACGGCGAGUGAAGCGGUAAAAGCUCAAAUUUGAAAUCUGGUACUUUCAGUGCCCGAGUUGUAAUUUGUAGAAUUUGUCUUUGAUUAGGUCCUUGUCUAUGUUCCUUGGAACAGGACGUCAUAGAGGGUGAGAAUCCCGUUUGGCGAGGAUACCUUUUCUCUGUAAGACUUUUUCGAAGAGUCGAGUUGUUUGGGAAUGCAGCUCAAAGUGGGUGGUAAAUUCCAUCUAAAGCUAAAUAUUGGCGAGAGACCGAUAGCGAACAAGUACAGUGAUGGAAAGAUGAAAAGAACUUUGAAAAGAGAGUGAAAAAGUACGUGAAAUUGUUGAAAGGGAAGGGCAUUUGAUCAGACAUGGUGUUUUUUGCAUGCACUCGCCUCUCGUGGGCUUGGGCCUCUCAAAAAUUUCACUGGGCCAACAUCAAUUCUGGCAGCAGGAUAAAUCAUUAAGAAUGUAGCUACUUCGGUAGUGUUAUAGCUUUUUGGAAUACUGUUAGCCGGGAUUGAGGACUGCGCUUCGGCAAGGAUGUUGGCAUAAUGGUUAAAUGCCGCCCGUCUGAAAAAACGACACACACACAAA